UCAGAAGUAGUUUAAACAAAAUACUUGUUUUAGGCACAAGAGAUGUUACAAUUGUAAUCUUUUGAG
rnacentral:tRNA from 1 species